rnacentral:misc_RNA from 1 species
GCCCCGAGUGAUAAAAAUUAAAAAUGUGAAAAUAAUGUGAAGCAUCUUCCAGGAGUCCAUCUACCAAAUAAACCUCUGGACCCCAGGUUCGUGGUUCCAAUUGAAUGGUCUAAACAAAAACAUCAUCAUCGUGAAGGUAUUGAUUACCAAAUACAUCAGUCCCAUAGCAAUCCAACUUUCAUUAUCAUCAAUAUGAGAAUGAAGUAUCAACAAAUAGAAUGGUAUGGUAUAAUAUCUGAACUCAAUUAAUGGAGCAGGAACUAGGACUGCAGCCGUAGCCAAGAAAUAUGUCAAAACC